rnacentral:rRNA from 1 species
AUUGAACGCUGGCGGCAGGCCUAACACAUGCAAGUCGAGCGGAUGAGAGGAGCUUGCUUCUCGAUUCAGCGGCGGACGGGUGAGUAAUGCCUAGGAAUCUGCCUGGUAGUGGGGGACAACGUGUCGAAAGGAACGCUAAUACCGCAUACGUCCAACGGGAGAAAGCAGGGGACCUUCGGGCCUUGCGCUAUCAGAUGAGACUAGGUCGGAUUAGCUAGUUGGUUAGGUAAUGGCUCACCAAGGCGACGAUCCGUAACUGGUCUGAGAGGAUGAUAAGUCACACUGGAACUGAAAAACGGUCCAGACUCCUACGGGAGGCAGCAGUGGGGAAUAUUGGACAAUGGGCGAAAGCCUGAUCCAGUCAUGCCGCGUGUGUGAAGAAGGUCUUCGGAUUGUAAAGCACUUUAAGUUGGGAGGAAGGGUUGUAGAUUAAUACUCUGCAAUUUUGACGUUACCGACAGAAUAAGCACCGGCUAACUCUGUGCCAGCAGCCGCCGUAAAAC